CGGCGGCUCGAGUGGUGGCCACUAUUAUUGGGCUUAAAGCGUCCGUAGCUGGACCCUUAAGUCUCUUGGGAAAUCCGCCGGCUUAACCGGCGGGCGUCUAAGAGAUACUGGAGGUCUAGGGACCGGGAGAGGUGAGAGGUACUCCGGGGGUAGGAGUGAAAUCCUGUAAUCCCUGGGGGACCACCGAUGGCGAAGGCAUCUCACCAGAACGGCUCCGACAGUGAGGGACGAAAGCUGGGGGAGCGAACCGGAUUAGAUACCCGAGUAGUCC
rnacentral:rRNA from 1 species